rnacentral:lncRNA from 13 species
AUUUUGUAAAUGUUUAUAGGAAUACUCAGAUUGUCUAUUUCUUCUAGUGUUAUUUACAAUUAAUAUUUUUCUAAUUAUGUAUUUCAAUUAUUUAUAAUAAGUUAUUCAUAGUUUUCUAUCUUUUACAUUUGUGUAUCUAUGUUUAUAUUUCUGUUUUUUAAUUGUGGGUCCUUUUUACGUAUGCCUUCUCUCUCUUUUUUUCUUUUUGGAGACAGAGUCUUACUCUGUAACCUAGGCUGGAGUGCAGUGGUGUGAUCGUGGCUCCCAGGUUCACGCAGUUCUUGUGCCUUAGCCUCCUGAGUAGCUGGAAUUACAGCAAGCAGAAGCUGUUAUCACAGACACAGACAGAAGGGAAAUGGUGUAAAGACGCAGCAGGGAGAAGGUGGGAUCUACAAGCCGGGGAGAGGGGCUGGAACGGAUCCUGCCUUCAUAGCCUCAGCAGGAACCGCCCCUGCCAGCACCUUCAUCUUGAACUUCCAGCCUCAAGAAUGGUGAGAAAAUACAAUCUGCUGUUUGAUUCACCCAGCCUGUGAGAUUUUGUUAUUGUAGCU